GUGCCAGCCGCCGCGGUGAUACGUAGGGUGCGAGCGUUGUCCGGAUUUAUUGGGCGUAAAGAGCUUGUAGGCGGUUCGUUGCGUCGGAAGUGAAAACUCAGGGCUUAACUCUGAGCCUGCUUUCGAUACGGGCGGACUUGAGGGAUGUAGGGAGAACGGAAUUCCUGGUGGAGCGGUGGAAUGCGCAGAUAUCAGGAGGAACACCAGUGGCGAAGGCGGUUCUC
rnacentral:rRNA from 1 species